UACGUAGGGGGCAAGCGUUAUCCGGAUUUACUGGGUGUAAAGGGAGCGUAGACGGCUAACUAAGUCAGAUGUGAAAGCCCAGGGCUCAACCCUGGGACUGCAUUUGAAACUAUGUAGCUAGAGUGCAGGAGAGGUAAGUGGAAUUCCUAGUGUAGCGGUGAAAUGCGUAGAUAUUAGGAGGAACACCAGUGGCGAAGGCGGCUUACUGGACUGUAACUGACGUUGAGGCUCGAAAGCGUGGGGAGCAAACAGG
rnacentral:rRNA from 1 species